AUCUGAAGUGACCUUGUCUUUACUAAAAGAUAUUACAGACGAAGAAUUAAAAGAGGUGAUUCCCAAAUUAGGAGUUCGGAUGGAAUUUAAAAGAGCACUUUGCUCAUGGAAUCAAAGAAAUAACUGUGAGAAACCUUCUAUAAGCAACGACCAUAAGGAAGACCAUGAAAAAAACUUCGUUCUAAACAAGAGCAUUCGUUCAUUAUUAUCAGAGAAUGAACACGGAAAAGCAUUACUAAAUAAGAACACUUUGCUGGAAGUCGACAGAAUUUGGCUAAUAAACACUAUAGUGGAGGAAGCCAUCAACAAUUAUUUUAUGUAUUAUUAAUUUCAAAUAAAAUUGUUUUUCCUCAUAUAAAA